UACGUAGGGCGCGAGCGUUGUCCGGAAUUAUUGGGCGUAAAGAGCUCGUAGGCGGCUUGUUGCGUCUGCUGUGAAAUCCCGGGGCUUAACCCCGGGCGUGCAGUGGAUACGGGCAGGCUGGAGGCAGGCAGGGGAGAAUGGAAUUCCCGGUGUAGCGGUGAAAUGCGCAGAUAUCGGGAGGAACACCGGUGGCGAAGGCGGUUCUCUGGGCCGAUACUGACGCUGAGGAGCGAAAGCGUGGGGAGCGAACAGG
rnacentral:rRNA from 1 species